rfam:Gossypium raimondii chromosome 6, whole genome shotgun sequence.
GGGUGCGAUCAUACCAGCACUAAUGCACCGGAUCCCAUCAGAACUCUGCAGUUAAGCGUGCUUGGGCGAGAGUAGUACUAGGGUGGGUGACCUCCUGGGAUGUCCUCGUGUUGCACCCC